GAGUUUGAUCAUGGCUCAGGAUGAACGCUAGCGGCAGGCUUAAUACAUGCAAGUCGAGGGGCAUCAGCUUAUAGCAAUAUAGGGCUGGCGACCGGCAAACGGGUGCGGAACACGUACACAACCUUCCUUUAAGAGGGGGAUAGCCCAUAGAAAUGUGGAUUAAUACCCCGUAAGAUAGUGGGAUGGCAUCAUACUACUAUUAUAGUUACGACGCUUGAAGAUGGGUGUGCGUCUGAUUAGGUAGUUGGCGGGGUAAAGGCCCACCAAGCCUUCGAUCAGUAGCUGAUGUGAGAGCAUGAUCAGCCACACGGGCACUGAGACACGGGCCCGACUCCUACGGGAGGCAGCAGUAAGGAAUAUUGGUCAAUGGACGCAAGUCUGAACCAGCCAUGCCGCGUGAAGGAUGAAGGUCCUCUGGAUUGUAAACUUCUUUAUAGGGGGCAAAAAAGGGAAAUCUUUCUCACUUGACAGUACCCUAUGAAUAAGCACCGGCUAACUCCGUGCCAGCCCG
rnacentral:rRNA from 1 species